UCCGUCUUAACGACGGCAGUCUCGUUAGAGUGCCCAACUGAAUGCUGGCAACUAACGACAAGGGUUGCGCUCGUUGCGGGACUUAACCCAACAUCUCACGACGCGAGCUGACGACAGCCAUGCAGCACCUGUCUUCUGGCUCCCUUGCGGGCACCACCAAAUUUCUAAGGUGUUCCAGAGAUGUCAAGCCUAGGUAAGGUUCUUCGCGUUGCGUCGAAUUAAACCACAUGCUCCACCGCUUGUGCGGGCCCCCGUCAAUUCCUUUGAGUUUCAGUCUUGCGACCGUACUCCCCAGGCGGCGAACUUAACGCGUUAGCUUCGAUACUGCGUGCCAAAUUGCACCCAACAUCCAGUUCGCAUCGUUUAGGGCGUGGACUAC
rnacentral:misc_RNA from 1 species